rnacentral:rRNA from 1 species
UACGUAGGUGGCGAGCGUUGUCCAGAUUUACUGGGCGUAAAGAGCGCGCAGGCGGUCGUACAAGUCGCGUGUGAAAGCCCCCGGCUCAACUGGGGAGGGUCACGCGAUACUGUUCGACUCGAAGGCAGGAGAGGGAAGCGGAAUUCCCGGUGUAGUGGUGAAAUGCGUAGAUAUCUGGAGGAACACCGGUGGCGAAGGCGGCAUCCUGGACCAAUUCUGACGCUGAGGAGCGAAAGCCAGGGGAGCAAACGGG